rnacentral:sRNA from 1 species
UGUUUUUGUUUUCCCGCUUGAUAUUUCAAACACUGGAUUUGCUCUUUGGUUCGUGACGCUUCAUGUGCAGGGCGAGGUGAUCAGAGCGAGCAAAGCUGCGAUCACAGACCUUGCAUCUGAAAGGCUUGGCGCCUGUGUGCUUGCGUAUGUGCCUGGUCAGCUCGUCCGAGCGGGCGAAUCGCCAGCCGCAGGUCUGGAAAUGGCAUUGGUAGGGCUUCUCCCCGGUGUGGAUACGUUGGUGGGCUUUGAGGUGGGAACUUUUGGUGUAAGCUUUGCGGCAGCCUGCAGAUCAAAGAGAAAACAAAUUUCAUUAAUUAUAUGUAGAAGCCUGAGAAGGCUAAUAAAAGGUAAACAUUUGAGUGAAUAAUUAACAUUGAAUAAGCGUCUGAAUAUGCAACUACCUGACAUGCUCUUUAUACAUAUAAAAAAGUAUGUUAUUCCAAGUUAGGGUUAGACACCUAAGUUAACAGUGGCCAUGGCGAAGUUGGCCAAAAAGGCGCAAAUUAAGAGGCAAGAGAAAAAAAAAGAGGAAUACCUAGGGAUAGAUGGAUUUCCGAUAAGCUGUGAGAUAUUGAACCAGUGGAAAGUCACUAAAGUCUAAACGUGAUAACAAAGGACCGGCCCCAUAGUACGCCAUUUCAACAUAAAAUUUGAAUAUUGUAACUACCUGUAUUAAGGAUUUGGCACAAAUUUAGCCAAGCUCGGUUACGUUGUUACACGCUGAAUGUACUGCAGUCUUUCCCAUCACUUUGAAUUGCGUUCAUAAAAUAAUCUAGUAAUAAUUUAAAAGCCACUAAAAUCCGAUUCUCGAAGCACUGUCUUGAAAACGACAGGUGUGAGUCAUCAGAUAAGCAAUGAGAUUUUUUUUUAUACAAAAGAUAUUAUAGGAUAAGAUAGAUGUGGUUUAUGCAGACGAGUUGAAAGCCACCAAUCAUCUUAUACAUCAGUCAGUGACCGGGUAUAGACAUUUUCUUGACAUACCGCCAUUUAGAAAGGGAAAAAAAAAACAACGUUUGAAGAGCAAUGGGCCUUGUGUCACGAGCCAAUGGGUCAGAGGACUACAGACGAAUUUGAUGAAUAAUGCUGAGGUCACUGACUCCCCCCCCCACACACACCAAACAUCCCUCCCUGCCUCAGCGCCACUGGAUUAACAGGAUCAAUACUGUUCUAAGGCCACGUGAGGGGUGGGGGUCUAUAUUUCAUACAUAUGUCACGUGCGUAUUUCAAACAGAGGCUAGCGAAAGUGGAGACCUGGGUGAUAUUACAGAACAACGUUAGAUGUAAGAGUUAUCUGAUAAAGGCUUAGAGCGUUACAUGUGAUUCUAUUUUUAAACUAUGACACACUUUCGUGGACUCGAUAGGAAAAGAUAAUUCACAUGAACACACACUUUCGAGAUAUAAAACAUAUUCAAGAAAACUGCAUAGAGAUACUUUUGG